rnacentral:lncRNA from 12 species
CAAUAAAGCCCUUUAUGUUGCUCCCGUGGUGCAGAUUUAGUAAUGUUUUGCUCCUGGAGGGCAGGCAUCAACAGGCUGCAAGCAAGGACGGGUCUUCGGAGAGGGGUGCUGUGAAGAAACGUGCGGGCGCAUGGUCCCAGACGGGUCGGCAGAAGUCCCGCAUAACUGUAGGAAACGCCAGUCAAGCCGCCUGUUCGACCCCAGUGAGGCCCCAGAGGAUUCACCUCAUCUCAUGCUGCGGUUCCUGAGACCACCGUCCACCCAGGUUUUAGGCACACAGCCUGGGCC